rnacentral:rRNA from 1 species
UGCCUAAUACAUGCAAGUCGAACGCACUCUCGUUUAGAUUGAAGGAGCUUGCUCCUGAUUGAUAAACAUUUGAGUGAGUGGCGGACGGGUGAGUAACACGUGGUAACCUGCCCUAAAGUGGGGGAUAACAUUUGGAAACAGAUGCUAAUACCGCAUAAAACCUAACACCGCAUGGUGUAGGGUUGAAAGAUGGUUUCGGCUAUCACUUUGGGAUGGACCCGCGGUGCAUUAGUUAGUUGGUGAGGUAAAGGCUCACCAAGACCGUGAUGCAUAGCCGACCUGAGAGGUAAUCGGCCACACUGGGACUGAGACACGGCCCAGACUCCUACGGGAGGCAGCAGUAGGGAAUCUUCCACAAUGGACGAAAGUCUGAUGGAGCAACGCCGCGUGAGUGAAGAAGGUUUUCGGAUCGUAAAACUCUGUUGUUGGAGAAGAAUGUAUCUGAUAGUAACUGAUCAGGUAGUGACGGUAUCCAACCAGAAAGCCACGGCUAACUACGUG